GACGUAGGGCGCGAGCGUUGUCCGGAUUUAUUGGGCGUAAAGAGCUCGUAGGCGGCUUGUCGCGUCGAAUGUGAAAUCUCAGGGCUCAACUCUGACAUUGCAUUCGAUACGGGCAGGCUAGAGUUCGGUAGGGGAGACUGGAAUUCCUGAUGUAGCGGUGAAAUGCGCAGAUAUCAGGAGGAACACCGGUGGCGAAGGCGGGUCUCUGGGCCGAUACUGACGCUGAGGAGCGAAAGCGUGGGGAGCGAACAGG
rnacentral:rRNA from 1 species